rnacentral:miRNA from 1 species
GGGCCUGGUGAGGCUGCUUA